AUUGAACGCUGGCGGCAGGCCUAACACAUGCAAGUCGAACGGUAACAGGAAGACGCUUGCUUCUUUGCUGACGAGUGGCGGACGGGUGAGUAAUGUCUGGGAAACUGCCUGAGGGAGGGGGAUAACUACUGGAAACGGUAGCUAAUACCGCAUAACGUCGCAAGACCAAAUAGGGGGACCUUCGGGCCUCUUGCCAUCGGAUGUGCCCAGAUGGGAUUAGCUAGUAGGUGGGGGAACGGCUCACCUAGGCGACGAUCCCUAGCUGGUCUGAGAGGAUGACCAGCCACACUGGAACUGAGACACGGUCCAGACUCCUACGGGAGGCAGCAGUGGGGAAUAUUGCACAAUGGGCGCAAGCCUGAUGCAGCCAUGCCGCGUGUAUGAAGAAGGCCUUCGGGUUGUAAAGUACUUUCAGCGGGGAGGAAGGGAGUAAAGUUAAUACCUUGGCUCAUUGACGUUACCCGCAGAAGAAGCACCGGCUAACUCCGUG
rnacentral:rRNA from 1 species